UCUAACCAUGUUUUUCUGCACUUUGAAGGUUAGUUAUGCACAUUGAAACAACAAUAUGGUAUUCCAAGCAAAUUACGAUGCGUGGCACAAUAGAGUUUCAUACCCUUAACAGUGGAAAUUACCGAAUUGCCCUUUUAGGUAUUUUUAACGUGAAACUUUGCCAAAAUGGAUUCUUGAGCUUUCUACCAUUCUCUAUUACAAAUUAUAUCUCGUUAUCAAUUCUUGAGAGUGGUUUUGACCAUAUAUUCUUAAUGUAUCGUGAAUGUAUCGAGGGUGUGUCAUUUAUCAAUGAUGUAUCAAAUAUUUCUUUCUUACUCACUUAUGUACUGGAUUAAUUGAGUUAAUAGCAUUAGCACUUCCAUAUUGCCUCAAUGGAUUUGUAAGCAUUAAAAUAACACUAGGAUCCUCAAUCUUCCCUUUUUUGAUGAUUACAAAAUAUUGAGUAUAAGCAAAUUGAUAUUUGUUGGAAUCCCUCGCACGCCGCAGAAAAUUUCAGAAAAAUUCUGCGCGCAGCGGAAGACAUGCGCGAGAUUCCGUUCAUCGCAUGAACAUAUUUUAAAACCGUCGUUCGUAGAUAGAUUAGGAUUAAAUACCUUUUAUAUGAUUAAGGAAGAUCAUAUCUUCACCUUGUGCGGGUAGAUGAUCACCGCAAAUCUGAUGAUCGUGGACUUGUUGAAGGUUCGCUUGAAGCCGCACACGCGUCCGGCCUCUACAGGUAUCCACACGAGGCAGAGGACCAAUCCAAACUCUCUAAUCUCCCCGGGGUGCUAG
rnacentral:lncRNA from 1 species